UUGCUUCAGGGCGCCUCCCAAGCACAGUGCCGGAGCAAUGGGCAGUGGAGCAGCUCCUUACCUACAUGCCGAGUGGUGAACUGUUCAGAUCCAGGCUUUGUGGAAAAUGCCGUUCGCCAUGGGCAGCAGAAUUUCCCAGAGUCUUUCAAGUAUGGAAUCAUUGUGGUGUACCACUGCAAGAAAGGAUUUUAUCUUCUUGGAUCGUCUGCUCUGACUUGUAAAGCUAAUGGUUUUUGGGACAGAUCAUUGCCCAAAUGUUUGCCAAUUUCUUGUGGGCACCCUGGAGUCCCAACCAAUGCAAUUCUGUCAGGGGACAAAUUUACGUAUGGAUCUAUAGUUCGCUACUCUUGUACAGGAAGUCGAACUCUCAUAGGAAACUCUACUAGAGCAUGCCAAGAAAACAGCCGCUGGAGUGGAACUCUCCCUCACUGCUCAGGAAACAACCCGGGAUAUUGUGAUGAUCCUGGAGUGCCAUCCCAUGGGUCCAGACUUGGGGAUGAGUUCAAGAUAAAAAGCCUGCUACGUUUUUCCUGCGAAAUGGGUUAUCAGCUGAGAG